rnacentral:rRNA from 1 species
AGCGUACACGGUGGAUGCCCUGGCAGUCAGAGGCGAUGAAGGGCGUGCUAAUCUGCGAUAAGCGCCGGUAAGGUGAUAUGAACCGUUAUAACCGGCGAUACCCGAAUGGGGAAACCCAGUGUGAUUCGUCACACUAUCAUUAACUGAAUCCAUAGGUUAAUGAGGCGAACCGGGGGAACUGAAACAUCUAAGUACCCCGAGGAAAAGAAAUCAACCGAGAUUCCCCCAGUAGCGGCGAGCGAACGGGGAGGAGCCCAGAGCCUGAAUCAGCAUGUGUGUUAGUGGAAGCGUCUGGAAAGGCGCGCGAUACAGGGUGACAGCCCCGUACACAAAAGCGCAUGUGCUGUGAGCUCGAUGAGUAGGGCGGGACACGUGGUAUCCUGUCUGAAUAUGGGGGGACCAUCCUCCAAGGCUAAAUACUCCUGACUGACCGAUAGUGAACCAGUACCGUGAGGGAAAGGCGAAAAGAACCCCGGCGAGGGGAGUGAAAAAGAACCUGAAACCGUGUACGUACAAGCAGUGGGAGCACAGGUUUACCUGUGUGACUGCGUACCUUUUGUAUAAUGGGUCAGCGACUUAUAUUCUGUAGCAAGGUUAACCGAAUAGGGGAGCCGGAGGGAAACCGAGUCUUAAUUGGGCGUUAAGUUGCAGGGUAUAGACCCGAAACCCGGUGAUCUAGCCAUGGGCAGGUUGAAGGUUGGGUAACACUAACUGGAGGACCGAACCGACUAAUGUUGAAAAAUUAGCGGAUGACCUGUGGCUGGGGGUGAAAGGCCAAUCAAACCGGGAGAUAGCUGGUUCUCCCCGAAAGCUAUUUAGGUAGCGCCUCGUGAAUUCAUCUCCGGGGGUAGAGCACUGUUUCGGCUAGGGGGCCAUCCCGGCUUACCAACCCGAUGCAAACUGCGAAUACCGGAGAAUGUUAUCACGGGAGACACACGGCGGGUGCUAACGUCCGUCGUGAAGAGGGAAACAACCCAGACCGCCAGCUAAGGUCCCAAAGUCAUGGUUAAGUGGGAAACGAUGUGGGAAGGCCCAGACAGCCAGGAUGUUGGCUUAGAAGCAGCCAUCAUUUAAAGAAAGCGUAAUAGCUCACUGGUCGAGUCGGCCUGCGCGGAAGAUGUAACGGGGCUAAACCAUGCACCGAAGCUGCGGCAGCGACGCUGAUGCGUUGUUGGGUAGGGGAGCGUUCUGUAAGCCUGCGAAGGUGGCCUGUGAGGGUUGCUGGAGGUAUCAGAAGUGCGAAUGCUGACAUAAGUAACGAUAAAGCGGGUGAAAAGCCCGCUCGCCGGAAGACCAAGGGUUCCUGUCCAACGUUAAUCGGGGCAGGGUGAGUCGACCCCUAAGGCGAGGCCGAAAGGCGUAGUCGAUGGGAAACGGGUUAAUAUUCCCGUACUUGGUGUUACUGCGAAGGGGGGACGGAGAAGGCUAUGUUGGCCGGGCGACGGUUGUCCCGGUUUAAGCGUGUAGGCUGGUUUUCCAGGCAAAUCCGGAAAAUCAAGGCUGAGGCGUGAUGACGAGGCACUACGGUGCUGAAGCAACAAAUGCCCUGCUUCCAGGAAAAGCCUCUAAGCAUCAGGUAACAUCAAAUCGUACCCCAAACCGACACAGGUGGUCAGGUAGAGAAUACCAAGGCGCUUGAGAGAACUCGGGUGAAGGAACUAGGCAAAAUGGUGCCGUAACUUCGGGAGAAGGCACGCUGACACGUAGGUGAAGUGAUUUACUCAUGGAGCUGAAGUCAGUCGAAGAUACCAGCUGGCUGCAACUGUUUAUUAAAAACACAGCACUGUGCAAACACGAAAGUGGACGUAUACGGUGUGACGCCUGCCCGGUGCCGGAAGGUUAAUUGAUGGGGUCAGCGCAAGCGAAGCUCCUGAUCGAAGCCCCGGUAAACGGCGGCCGUAACUAUAACGGUCCUAAGGUAGCGAAAUUCCUUGUCGGGUAAGUUCCGACCUGCACGAAUGGCGUAAUGAUGGCCAGGCUGUCUCCACCCGAGACUCAGUGAAAUUGAACUCGCUGUGAAGAUGCAGUGUACCCGCGGCAAGACGGAAAGACCCCGUGAACCUUUACUAUAGCUUGACACUGAACAUUGAGCCUUGAUGUGUAGGAUAGGUGGGAGGCUUUGAAGUGUGGACGCCAGUCUGCAUGGAGCCGACCUUGAAAUACCACCCUUUAAUGUUUGAUGUUCUAACGUGGACCCGUUACCCGGGUUGCGGACAGUGUCUGGUGGGUAGUUUGACUGGGGCGGUCUCCUCCUAAAGAGUAACGGAGGAGCACGAAGGUUGGCUAAUCCUGGUCGGACAUCAGGAGGUUAGUGCAAUGGCAUAAGCCAGCUUGACUGCGAGCGUGACGGCGCGAGCAGGUGCGAAAGCAGGUCAUAGUGAUCCGGUGGUUCUGAAUGGAAGGGCCAUCGCUCAACGGAUAAAAGGUACUCCGGGGAUAACAGGCUGAUACCGCCCAAGAGUUCAUAUCGACGGCGGUGUUUGGCACCUCGAUGUCGGCUCAUCACAUCCUGGGGCUGAAGUAGGUCCCAAGGGUAUGGCUGUUCGCCAUUUAAAGUGGUACGCGAGCUGGGUUUAGAACGUCGUGAGACAGUUCGGUCCCUAUCUGCCGUGGGCGCUGGAGAACUGAGGGGGGCUGCUCCUAGUACGAGAGGACCGGAGUGGACGCAUCACUGGUGUUCGGGUUGUCAUGCCAAUGGCACUGCCCGGUAGCUAAAUGCGGAAGAGAUAAGUGCUGAAAGCAUCUAAGCACGAAACUUGCCCCGAGAUGAGUUCU